GUUGAACGCUGGCGGCAGGCCUAACACAUGCAAGUCGAGCGGAUGAAGGGAGCUUGCUCCUGGAUUCAGCGGCGGACGGGUGAGUAAUGCCUAGGAAUCUGCCGGGUAGUGGGGGAUAACGUCCGGAGACGGGCGCUAAUACUGCAUACGUCCUGCGGGAGAAAGUGGGGGAUCGUCGGACCUCACGCUAUCAGAUGAGCCUAGGGCGGAUUAGGUAGUUGGUGGGGUAAAGGCCUGCCAAGGCGACGAUCCGUAACUGGUCUGAGAGGAUGGGCAGUCACACUGGAAGUGAGACACGGCCCAGACGCCUACGGGAGGCAGCAGUGGGGCAUAUUGGACAAUGGGCGAAAGACUGAUCCAGCCAUGCCGCGGGUGGGAAGAAGGUCUUCGGAUUGUAAAGCACGUUAAGUUGGGAGGAAGGGCAGUAAGUUAAUACCGUGCUGUUUUGACGUUACCAACAGAAUAAGCACCGGCUAACUUCGUGC
rnacentral:rRNA from 1 species